rnacentral:lncRNA from 1 species
CAAUCUUUCUGUGACUGACAGCUGAAAGUGUGAUGUGUGUGUGUGUGCCUUUAGUCUGAGGAUGACCAGAAGACCAGCAGCAGUGGCAGUAGGGCUAAAUCUGCAGCCGACAGCCACCCCUCCUACUCCUCUAGUUUCUGUGAGUUUGACGAUGACACGGCCGACCUCAGGAGCAACAGCCGCAGCGGCUCCGUCAAGAUGGAGAAUGCCAGAUACUGUUACCUUAGCGAUGUCUCCAGCCUCAGUGAGCUUGAGGAGCGCAGGAGCAUCGGCGUUCUGAAGGAUGAGCCUGCUGAUGACUGCUGCCUGGGAACCGCCUCUGACCUUUGUGAGGUAAAGAGAUGGGGGGUUUGACCUCUGUAAGGUGAGAGAGAUGGAGGGUUUGACCUCUGUGGGGUGAGAGUGAUGGAGGGUUUGACCUCUGUGAGGUUAGAGAGAUGGAGGGUUUGACCUCUGUGGGGUGAGAGAGAUGGAGGGUUUGACCUCUGUGGGGUGAGAGAGAUGGAGGGUUUGACCUCUGUGAGGUGAGAGAGAUGGAGGAUUUGACCUCUGUUAGCUGAGAGAGAUGGAGGGUUUGACCUCUGUGAGGUGAGAGAGAUGGGAGUUUGACCUCUGUGAGGUGAGAGAGAUGG